CCCUCUCUCUCCUUUCUCAACCGCCUCUCUCAGAUUAUUUUUUAUUUUUCUUUUAUCUCAUCUCUCUCUAAAACCAGCCAUCUCCAACCCUCCUCCUUUCAUUUCUCUAACACUACAACCUUACACAGCUCAACAACUCUCAAGAUUCGCCCAUUAAACCAUCUCACCUAUCUCUCUUCUUCUUCUUCCACUCGCUGCAGAUUAGCUUCUGUGGUGGAACAAGGCUCUUCAUCUCCUUCCUCAGAUGAUUCCGCCAUGGACGACGACAACCACCAAAGGCCUAGGCGAGCUCCAACCGCCAUGGAACCUCUCGUCUCCCUCUACUCCAUUGACGACUUCUCCGCCUCCAAAUGCCCAUGGUCUUUGUGGAUCUAGUUGUUGAAACUUCGUCCGUGGUCUAUGGUGGUUGGGUUUGUUUUUUUCAUCGUUCGAAGGCUCUAGUUGCUGGUUUACGGUGGCAAGUUUCAUGGGUCUCGACGUUUGAAUGUCGACAAGUCUGGGCUCGUGGUCUAUGGUGGCCGCGUUUGUAAUUUAUUUUUUGUUCAUAUUUUUAAUUUUUUUUCUAGAUGUGUUAGAUUUAUAUUUAGCUGAUCUGUAAUUUUUGUGCAUGUAUAUGUUGAACUUUGUUAUAAAAUAUUGUAUUUUAGAUGUUUCAGUA